CCUACGGGAGGCAGCAGUGGGGAAUAUUGCACAAUGGGCGAAAGCCUGAUGCAGCAACGCCGCGUGAGGGAUGACGGCCUUCGGGUUGUAAACCUCUUUUAGUAGGGAAGAAGCGAAAGUGACGGUACCUGCAGAAAAAGCACCGGCUAACUACGUGCCAGCAGCCGCGGUAAUACGUAGGGUGCAAGCGUUGUCCGGAAUUAUUGGGCGUAAAGAGCUCGUAGGCGGUUUGUCGCGUCUGCUGUGAAAUCCCGAGGCUCAACCUCGGGCUUGCAGUGGGUACGGGCAGACUAGAGUGCGGUAGGGGAGAUUGGAAUUCCUGGUGUAGCGGUGGAAUGCGCAGAUAUCAGGAGGAACACCGAUGGCGAAGGCAGAUCUCUGGGCCGUAACUGACGCUGAGGAGCGAAAGCAUGGGGAGCGAACAGGAUUAGAUACCCUGGUAGUCCAUGCCGUAAACGUUGGGCGCUAGAUGUACGGUACCUUCACGGUUUCUGUGUCGUAGCUACGCAUUAGCGCCCCGCUGGGNGACGCGCGAGACGUAACUAAUAGAUAGNGCGNGAGAGNGCGACGACGACGACGAGGAGAG
rnacentral:rRNA from 1 species